rnacentral:rRNA from 1 species
AUUGAACGCUGGCGGCAGGCCUAACACAUGCAAGUCGAGCGGAGUGGCGAACGGGUGAGUAACACGUGGGUGACCUCCCCUGCACUUCGGGAUAAGCCUGGGAAACUGGGUCUAAUACCGGAUAGUGUGGGAUGGGCCCGCGGCGUAUCAGCUUGUUGGUGGGGUAAUGGCCUACCACGGGGGCGACGGGUGGCCGGCCUGAGAGGGUUGACGGCCACAUUGGGACUGAGACACCGGCCAGACUCCUACGGGAGGCAGGAGGGGGGAAUAGUGCACAAUGGGCGGAAGCCUGAUGCAGCGACGCCGCGUGGGGGAUGACGGCCUUCGGGUUGUAAACUCCUUUCACCAUCGACGCGGUAGAUGGAGAAGAAGCACCGGCUAACUACGUGCCAGCAGCCGCGGUAAUAC